AGAGAUGAGAAUGCAAGUUGUUUUGUUAAAGACUUUCACGCGGGGGCAUUUUUUAAAAAGCGGGUAUAUAAAUCUCUCCCCUCCCCCCAAAAAAAACUCCCUUCAAGAUUGCGAACCGGAGUAGUUCGCAGAGAGCUUGCGUUAUUACGGUUGACUCCGCGGUUCUUGAGAAUUGCCCGUACCUAGAAGACUGUGACCAGCUCCACGGUGAUGCCUUAAACAAGGAGCACCUAUUAUUAAGGACCCACUUCAUCCAGGACAUGCCCUCUUCUCAUUGCUACAAUCAAGGAGGAAGUACAGGAGUCUGAAGACAUGUUCUCAACUCUUUCGGUAGGAGGUACAGAAGCCUGAAGGCACACACUCAGCAAUUCAGGAACAGCUUCUUCCCCUCUGC